UACGUAGGGUCCGAGCGUUGUCCGGAAUUACUGGGCGUAAAGCGCGCGCAGGCGGCCCGCGAGGUGUCACGUGAAAGCCCCGGGCUCAACCCGGGAGGGUCGUGGCAAACCGGCGGGCUUGAGGCCGGUAGAGGUGGGUGGAACUCCUGGUGGAGUGGUGAAAUGCGUAGAGGUCAGGAAGAACACCCGUGGCGAAGGCGGCCCACUGGGCCGGUACUGACGCUGAGGCGCGAAGGCGUGGGGAGCGAACGGG
rnacentral:rRNA from 1 species